rnacentral:rRNA from 1 species
GACGAACGCUGGCGGCGUGCCUAACACAUGCAAGUCGAACGAGGUCCAUCCAGUGGCAACACUGGGGAAGACCUAGUGGCGAACGGGUGAGUAACACGUGAGGAACCUGCCCCGAAGACCGGGAUAACCCUCCGAAAGGAGAGCUAAUACCGGAUACCCCCACCGGACCGCAUGAUCCGGUGAGGAAAUGGAUUCCGCUUCGGGAGGGUCUCGCGGCCUAUCAGCUUGUUGGUGGGGUAACGGCCCACCAAGGCUUCGACGGGUAGCUGGUCUGAGAGGACGAUCAGCCACACUGGGACUGAGACACGGCCCAGACUCCUACGGGAGGCAGCAGUGGGGAAUCUUGCGCAAUGGGCGAAAGCCUGACGCAGCGACGCCGCGUGGAGGAUGAAGGCCUUUGGGUUGUAAACUCCUGUCAGCUGGGAAGAACGCCGUGUGGUGAAAGCCACGUGGCUUGACUGUACCAGCAGAGGAAGCCCCGGCUAACUC